AUAAGUCAAAGCAUAAUGUGCUGAGAGAUGGUCUCGCGUCUGAUUAGCUAGAUGGCGGGGUAACGGCCACCAUGGCGACGAUCAGUAGCCGGUCUGAGAGGAUGAACGGCCACAUUGGGACUGAGAUACGGCCCAGACUCCUACGGGAGGCAGCAGUGGGGAAUAUUGGGCAAUGGGGGAAACCCUGACCCAGCAACGCCGCGUGAAGGAAGAAGGCCUUCGGGUUGUAAACUUCUUUUAGCAGGGACGAAGGACGUGACGGUACCUGCAGAAAAAGCAACGGCUAACUACGUGCCAGCAGCCGCGGUAAUACGUAGGUUGCAAGCGUUGUCCGGAUUUACUGGGUGUAAAGGGCGUGUAGGCGGAGCUGCAAGUCAGAUGUGAAAUCCCGGGGCUCAACCCCGGAACUGCAUUUGAAACUGUAGCCCUUGAGUAUCGGAGAGGCAAGCGGAAUUCCUAGUGUAGCGGUGAAAUGCGUAGAUAUUAGGAGGAACACCAGUGGCGAAGGCGGCUUGCUGGACGACAACUGACGCUGAGGCGCGAAAGCGUGGGGAGCAAACAGGAUUAGAUACCCUGGUAGUCCACGCUGUAAACGAUGAAUACUAGGUGUGGGAGGACUGACCCCUUCCGUGCCGCAGUUAACACAAUAAGUAUUCCACCUGGGGAGUACGACCGCAAGGUUGAAACUCAAAGGAAUUGACGGGGGCCCGCACAAGCAGUGGAUUAUGUGGUUUAAUUCGACGCAACGCGAAGAACCUUACCAGGACUUGACAUCCAACUAACGAAGUAGAGAUACAUUAGGUGCCCUUCGGGGAAAGUUGAGACAGGUGGUGCAUGGUUGUCGUCAGCUCGUGUCGUGAGAUGUUGGGUUAAGUCCCGCAACGAGCGCAACCCCUAUUGUUAGUUGCUACGCAAGAGCACUCUAGCGAGACUGCCGUUGACAAAACGGAGGAAGGCGGGGACGACGUCAAAUCAUCAUGCCCCUUAUGUCCUGGGCUACACACGUAAUACAAUGGCCGUCAACAGAGGGAAGCGAAACUGCGAAGUGGAGCAAAUCCCUAAAAACGGUCUCAGUUCGGAUUGCAGGCUGCAACUCGCCUGCAUGAAGCUGGAAUUGCUAGUAAUCGC
rnacentral:rRNA from 1 species